ACAAGCGGUGGAGUAUGUGGUUUAAUUCGAUGCAACGCGAAGAACUUACCUGGUCUUGACAUCCCAGAAAUCCCUUGGAAACUUGGGAGUGCUUCCAUUAGGAAGAAUCUGGAGACAGGUGCUGCAUGGCUGUCGUCAGCUCGUGUCGUGAGAUGUUGGGUUAAGUCCCGCAACGAGCGCAACCCUUGCCUUUAGUUGCCAGCAGUUCGGCUGGGCACUCUAAAGGGACUGCCGGUGUUAAACCGGAGGAAGGUGGGGAUGACGUCAAGUCCUCAUGGCCUUUAUGACCAGGGCUACACACGUACUACAAUGGCCGAUACAAAGGGCAGCGACAUUGCGAAAUGAAGCCAAUCCCAUAAAUUCGGUCUCAGUCCGGAUUGGAGUCUGCAACUCGACUCCAUGAAGUUGGAAUCGCUAGUAAUCGUGGAUCAGCAUGCCACGGUGAAUACGUUCCCGGGCCUU
rnacentral:rRNA from 1 species